CCAGGCCAACUAAAGGAAGAUACAUUGUAUGUACAUCCAUCUUUGAAGAAGUUUGGAAUAUUUUCGCAGGAGAAAUACAGACAUACUGCCACAGAAUCUAGGAUGACGUCAUGGGGCUGACUGCAGCCACACUCAGAGGCAGGCGGAGCUUCAGGAAUCGAGCCGUUUUAGUUCUGGUCUAACCUUCAACAGCAGACGGUCCUCCUCACAGAAUCUGGAUCUGCUGGAGGUUUGUUCAUACUUUUCUAAUGAAGGACUUCUAUUCAUGUAAUCUUCUGCUCACUAAUAUAAACUAUUAUUAUCACACAA